rnacentral:rRNA from 1 species
CAGCAGCCACGGUAAUACGGAGGGGGCUAGCGUUGUUCGGAAUUACUGGGCGUAAAGCGCGUGUAGGCGGGUCCUUAAGUCAGGGGUGAAAUGCCAAGGCUCAACCUUGGAACUGCCUUUGAUACUGGGGAUCUUGAGUCCGGGAGAGGUGAGUGGAACUGCGAGUGUAGAGGUGAAAUUCGUAGAUAUUCGCAAGAACACCAGUGGCGAAGGCGGCUCACUGGCCCGGAACUGACGCUGAGACGCGAAAGCGUGGGGAGCAAACAGGAUUAGAUACCCGCGUAGUCCCUGUCUCUUAUAC